GUAGAAGACACAAAUGGUAUGGCACAAAAUUGUUCCCUAGACACGCAGGAGACUGAUGUUUCUGAUACCUUUUUGAAAUUAAUACGUGAGGAGGCAAAAAAAGACGUCGAAGACGAGGUUGAAUCCUCUAAAGCCUGGGAAGAUCGUUUGGAAGUUGCCCUCCAAAAGAAUGAUGUUGUCUUGGUCUGGAGACUCAUCGCUGACUUCAGAGAAAAAAAUGAUAAGAAGACCCUUGACAACUUAAGCAAUGACUGUAGAACUAUCGCGCGCAAGGAGAACGUAAAGGAAGAUAACAACAUUAUAAGUAUCACACGUUGGAAGAUGUCGGAGACGUGGAAUAAAGUGUGUCAACUAUGCAAAUAUUUCAAAGAAUGGAUCUCUUGCAAGAGCACUGAAGACAAUAUCGAAGACACGACAACGGCACAAAACGAAGAAGAAAGGAGAUGGAUCCUCAUAUUGAGCAACCCGUUGUACAUAACCCUCGAAUGGUUGUGGGAGAUUGAUUCGAAUACCCGAAAUCAGCCGAAUGCGAAUGGGACAUCGGAGAUGGAGGCAGAUAAGCAAAGAAUAAAGCGUAAAGAAACUACAUUGUCUGGCAUUAUUGAGGCAUCCCUCCGUGACUCACUCCUGUUAGAGAAAAUCGCCGCGUACAAGUAUCAUCAAUACAGUCGAGACGACUACAUGAAUUGCGCGAGAGACCUUGAGAAAUUGGCCGUAGAUAUCGUUGCCCAAAUAGGUCCUUCCCAACUGAAACCGCUUCACCUCAUCAUGGAUAUCGAGGGCACAGGAUGUUUAUUGAAUGAGAAAAAGCCUGACAAUUUCAUGCCGAGUGUGAGCCUGGUGAGGUUCGGCGUGGAGAAACAACGAAAGUUGUUUGUGGCGAGCUACAACUGCCAGUAUGUACUCAACGAGGUGAUCAACCGUGGAUGGUGGGACUGGAGAGAUGAAGGUUUUGUCGUAAAGAGCAUUUGGUUCCUUUUUCAUUUUAUCUUCUCACUCGUGAUGAGCAUUCCUUAUCUACUGAUAAAACUGUUGAACGAAUACUGCGGUGCAUCCUCCUGCUGUUCAUGCUGGAAAUUGAGGAAAUUUUUCGAACAUCCUUACUCCAAGUUCAUCAACCAUCUCAUGUCAUACUUGACAUUUCUAUGCACGAUCAUUACCUCUUCCUUCCCGAGUGUAUACAGCAGAACCAGCUCAGGCCACUCGAUGUUACCACUUGAAAAAUGCAAUUACAGAAUGGAAGUUUUCAAGAACCCAAAUGUGGCUAGAAUGGAUUCACAAAGAGAAUGCUGUACCUGUGCCUACGAACCUUGUACUUGUACUUGCACUUGUACCUGUACUUGUACGUGUACUUGUAAGUGUACUUGUACUGUUUUUCUUCUGGCUUCCAUACAAGAUCAUCACAGCGGUUAAAAAGAAAGAAAAAUAGAAAGUUAAGACAGAGAUCAACCGUCCUAAGGGGAACUCCACCGACGAGAGUGAACUUUUGGUGAAUUCUCAAGAACUGGUUAGUUGUACUUUGUCUGUGAUACUUCAGAGUACGUGAGAUUUUUCCUUAGGGUAAAAGGUGAAAAGAAUUUAAAUUUGUUCUAGUGGAGCUUUUGCUUUACUAAGAAAAGAGAAUUUCUAAAAAAAAUUCAAUAGCACAGGAGCGCCUACUAUUCCCAUGACGUGCGAGUUUGGGUUGAAGUGUAGGAGAGGUAAUCUUUAUUCAUAAAUAUUUCAAAACUGGCGCGUUGAAAGUGUAAAAACAAAAACAAUUUAUUCAGGCGUAAGCUGCGCGUUUACUGAGUUAGGUAAAACCUUGAGAGUUUGAACAGAAACUCUCAUCUUUCGACCUCUCUAAACUGGGCGUGUGCUUCAUAUUUCAAUGAAAUCAUGUAGACACAUGAAGCAGCUAAUGGAUGGGGGGGGGGUGCUUUACUUAAGCUUUAUUCUAUUUGAAUAGAGAAAAUCUUAUGAGGGGGCUGGAGAGAGACAGGACAGUGACAGUGAACGGUCAGAUUCUAAGGUUCAACAGAGCGACGAUGACCAAGAUAAAUCGUGUUGUUCUUUCUGUAUAUGCCUCGAGAAUAUUUGCAAGAAGUCGCCACCUUCCACAACCGAGGAACGCAAGAAGGUAAUGGCAAAUCUGGUCGUGAAGUAUCUGAUGGAACGUUACCCAGAGAAGUUCCCACUAUCCGAAAUAAUCAAAGCUCAGUCUGAUGAUUAUGGAAGUGGACAGAGAAGUGGACAGACUUAAUGUCCAAACCAUCAGGAAAAGCAUGAAAUACGCUGUUUUGAAAUAAUCGCUCCACUAACACAAUAUAAUAUUUCAUAGGCAAGUGUCAUAUUUUAUCCCCUGCUUGUCCAGAUCAGUCUUGUAGUGUAGUGUGCAUGCUUCCUAAGUG